GACGAACGCUGGCGGCGUGCCUAAUACAUGCAAGUCGAACGCUGAAGGAGGAGCUUGCUUCUCCGGAUGAGUUGCGAACGGGUGAGUAACGCGUAGGUAACCUGCCUGGUAGCGGGGGAUAACUAUUGGAAACGAUAGCUAAUACCGCAUAAGAGUAGAUGUUGCAUGACAUUUGCUUAAAAGGUGCAAUUGCAUCACUACCAGAUGGACCUGCGUUGUAUUAGCUAGUUGGUGAGGUAACGGCACACCAAGGCGACGAUACAUAGCCGACCUGAGAGGGGGGUCGGCCACACUGGGACUGAGACACGGCCCAGACUCCUACGGGAGGCAGCAGUAGGGAAUCUUCGGCAAUGGACGGAAGUCUGACCGAGCAACGCCGCGUGAGUGAAGAAGGUUUUCGGAUCGUAAAGCUCUGUUGUAAGAGAAGAACGAGUGUGAGAGUGGAAAGUUCACACUGUGACGGUAUCUUACCAGAAAGAGACGGCUAACUACGUG
rnacentral:rRNA from 1 species